AGUGAACGCUGGCGGCGUGCCUAAUACAUGCAAGUCGAACGGAGUGGCGCACGGGUGUGUAAUAUAUAUCGAAUCUCCCCCUUGCUGGAGGACAACACUUAGAAAUGACUGCUAAUACCCCAUAGCACGGGAUGAGACUCUAUCGUAUCAGCUAGUCGGUGGGGUAACGGCCUACCGAGGGUAUGACGCGUAACUGGUGUGAGAGGAUGAUCAGCCACAUGCGAACGGAGACACGGUUGAGACACCUACGGGAGUGAGCGGUAGGCAGUAUUGCGCAAUGCGCGUGACUCUGACGCAGCAACGGGUCGUGAAGGAUGACCCUUAGCGGAGCGUAAAUUCAUUUUGAUAGGGAAGCGGUACCUAAAGAAUAAGCACCGGCUAACUCCGUGCCAGCAGCCGCGGUAAUUC
rnacentral:rRNA from 1 species